rnacentral:rRNA from 1 species
GACGAACGCUGGCGGCGUGCUUAACACAUGCUAGUCGAACGGAAAGGCCCUGCUUUUGUGGGGUGCUCGAGUGGCGAACGGGUGAGUAACACGUGAGUAACCUGCCCUUGACUUUGGGAUAACUUCAGGAAACUGGGGCUAAUACCGGAUAGGAGCUCCUGCUGCAUGGUGGGGGUUGGAAAGUUUCGGCGGUUGGGGAUGGACUCGCGGCUUAUCAACUUGUUGGUGGGGUAGUGGCUUACCAAGGCUUUGACGGGUAGCCGGCCUGAGAGGGUGACCGGCCACAUUGGGACUGAGAUACGGCCCAGACUCCUACGGGAGGCAGCAGUGGGGAAUAUUGCACAAUGGGCGGAAGCCUGAUGCAGCAACGCCGCGUGCGGGAUGACGGCCUUCGGGCUGUAAACCGCUUUCGCCUGUGACGAAGCGUGAGUGACGGUAAUGGGUAAAGAAGCACCGGCUAACUACGUG